rnacentral:rRNA from 1 species
CAACAGCUAGAGUUUGAUCCUGGCUCAGGAUGAACGCUGGCGGCGUGCCUAACACAUGCAAGUCGAACGGGGGACUUUAACGGAAUUUCUUCGGAAAGGAAGAUGGAGGACCUAGUGGCGGACGGGUGAGUAACGCGUGGAUAACCUGCCUCAAACAGGGGGAUAACAGCCGGAAACGGCUGCUAAUACCGCAUAAGCGCACAGCACCGCAUGGUGCCGUGUGAAAAACUCCGGUGGUUUGAGAUGGAUCCGCGUCUGAUUAGCUAGUUGGUGAGGUAACGGCCCACCAAGGCGACGAUCAGUAGCCGGCCUGAGAGGGUGAACGGCCACAUUGGGACUGAGACACGGCCCAGACUCCUACGGGAGGCAGCAGUGGGGAAUAUUGCACAAUGGGGGAAACCCUGAUGCAGCAACGCCGCGUGAGCGAAGAAGUAUUUCGGUAUGUAAAGCUCUAUCAGCAGGGAAGAUAAUGACGGUACCUGACUAAGAAGCUCCGGCUAAAUACGUGCC